GACGAACGCUGGCGGCGUGCUUAACACAUGCCAGUCGAACGGAAAGGCCUGCUUUCCCUUGUGGAUUGCGGGUACUCGAGUGGCGAACGGGUGAGUAACACGUGAGUGAUCUGCCCCCAACUUGGGUAUAAGCCUGGGAAACUGGGUCUAAUUCCCGAUAGGACUGCAGGGUGGUGCCUGUGGUGGAAAACGAUUUUCUAGUGGUUGGGGAUGAGCUCGCGGCCUAUCAGCUUGUUGGUGGGGUAAUGGCCUACCAAGGCGGCGACGGGUAGCCGGCCUGAGAGGGUGGACGGCCACAUUGGGACUGAGAUACGGCCCAGACGCCUACGGGAGGCAGCAGUGGGGAAUAUUGCACGAUGGGCGGAAGCCUGAUGCAGCGACGCCGCGUGGGGGAUGACGGCCUUCGGGUUGUAAACUCCUUUCGACCGCGAGGAAGCCACCUGGUUGGAAGGGUGGUGACGGUAGUGGUAGAAGAAGCACCGGCUAACUACGUG
rnacentral:rRNA from 1 species